rnacentral:lncRNA from 10 species
GCCAGGCUGGUUUCAAUCUCUUGACCUCAUGACCUGCCCGCCUCGGCCUCUCAAAGUGCUGGGAUUACAGGCGUGAGCCACCUCGCCCUGCUCACUUUGCAUACAUUUGAGUUGGGAUUCUUUCGCUGCAAAACCUGAUCUUCACCUAGAUUCAGGCUGCCCUGAUGAUCUCACUCAUUUGGAAGUAUUAUUCUGUCCCUGUGGCUGUCGUGCCGAGUAAAUGGAUAACCCCUCUAGACCGCCUGGUAGCCUUUCCUACUAGAGUAGCAGGUGGUGUUGGAAUUACCUGUUGGAUUUUAGUCUGUAACAAAGUUGUCGCUAUUGUGCUUCAUCCGUUCAGCUGAACAGGAGGAUGGAUACAGCCGCGAGGCUAAAAAACGGAUUUCCUCUUCCUAGCUUAAAAUCUGAUUUACACUGUUUUGUUUUUUAAGAAACAAAAGUGCAUAGUUUAGAUUUUUUUUUUGUUGAAUAUGUUUGUUCUUGGACUUUAUGAGAGAGUCUUAUAAGAA